ensembl:lncRNA
AAAUAUGAAAAGCUGCAUUUUAUGCUCUGGUCAUUAGUACUGGUAUUUUAAUGUAAGCAAACAUAGGGAACAUACACCGAUGCGUAAGUACUACAGAUGAAGAUGCAAAGAAACCAUGAAAUAAUUAAUGAAAUAGUGAAGUUUAUGAAUAAAAUAAACAACUAUUUUGUUUUACAAAUCUUGUCAAACUUGUAAAACAAUCUGAGCUCUUCAGUCAUCAAUAUCUUUCCUGAAUACCUGAAGCUUCUCUCUGAAGUGGAUAUGUUGUCGCGGCCCAUGUCAGCUCUACUUGUGGCCCGCAUAAUGACGUGACGAAAUAUUUUUAAAAAUUAUUAUUCAAAAAAUUAUUUAAUAUGAAGGCAAUAGGCAGAGUGUUACAGGCAUAGACUUAAAGAAUGUAGCCUCAUGGGCAGUGUAGCCCAGUUGUAAGUGCUAUUAGGACUCGACUGUACACUGUGUUCGUGUACAUUGCACAUUGUUCUUUGCAGUAGGAAGAGUUCAGUCUUUGUGAGCUGCAUGGAUGACAUGCUGCACAGGCUUCCUUUUAUGGGCGUCUAAGUUAAUGUUGGGUGAUUCACAUUAGCAACCAUACGUUGCCUUUCUUGUGUAGAAUCAUCCGUCAACUCCGGCUUGACGAGCUGGUCUCUUGGCCGUCAGAGCGCGGUGUGCUAGUUCAAUUCCAAGUAACUGGUCACUGGGAAAGCCCAGCAUGUUUUUCAAUAAAUUAUCCAAAAAUGUCAUCACGUCGGCCCCUUCUUUAUCUUCACAUAUUCCAUAUAUCUAAAGGUUAUCUCUGCGCGCUCAGCCUUCCUGCUCAACCAGCCUCGCUUCUAGGCUGGCUUGACGUUCUGUUAAUCUCUUAAUUAAAGACGAUGCCGCCUGUAGCAGCAUCUCAGUCUCGUCAAAUCGCCCCUCUGCCUCUUCCAUUCUAGCAUCAACUCUUCUUAACCCUCGUCUAAUAUGUGCAUAUUGUUUGUUGUUGUCUUUCCUAAAGUCACGAAGCUCUUUCGGGAUAUUGAAGAGGCUGGGCUCGUCUGUAUCCAUGCCCUCUGUGGCUAACCUUAGCUCGGGAGAGUAGCUCCUAUCCACGUGGCUUUUCUCUGUUUCCUCUUUUGUCUGAGUUGUGCCUCUCAAACUACAUCACACCUAAACACAUUCAUGUAAAAAACACAGAGGUUAAGCCAUCAAAGUGUGUGUAAAAGAAGUGUUUAUGUCUGUCUUGCAGUUU